AGGGGUAUAGUUUCUUCGGAAACUAGAGACCGGCGCACGGGUGCGUAACGCGUAUGCAAUCUACCUUUCACAAAGGGAUAGCCCAGAGAAAUUUGGAUUAAUACCUUAUAGUAUAGCGACUUCGCAUGGAGAUGCUAUUAAAGAUUUAUCGGUGAAAGAUGAGCAUGCGUCCCAUUAGCUAGUUGGUAAGGUAACGGCUUACCAAGGCUACGAUGGGUGGGGGUCCUGAGAGGGAGAUCCCCCACACUGGUACUGAGACACGGACCAGACUCCUACGGGAGGCAGCAGUGAGGAAUAUUGGUCAAUGGGCGCAAGCCUGAACCAGCCAUGCCGCGUGCAGGAUGACGGUCCUAUGGAUUGUAAACUGCUUUUGUACAGGAAGAAACACUCCCUCGUGAGGGAGCUUGACGGUACUGUAAGAAUAAGGAUCGGCUAACUCCGUGCCAGCAGCCGCGGUAAUACGGAGGAUCCAAGCGUUAUCCGGAAUCAUUGGGUUUAAAGGGUCCGUAGGCGGCUUAAUAAGUCAGUGGUGAAAGCCCUACGCUUAACGUAGGAACGGCCAUUGAUACUGUUAGGCUUGAAUUAUUAGGAAGUAACUAGAAUAUGUAGUGUAGCGGUGAAAUGCUUAGAGAUUACAUGGAAUACCAAUUGCGAAGGCAGGUUACUACUAAUGGAUUGACGCU
rnacentral:rRNA from 1 species